rnacentral:rRNA from 1 species
AUUGAACGCUGGCGGCAUGCCUUACACAUGCAAGUCGAACGGCAGCACGGGAGCAAUCCUGGCGGCGAGUGGCGAACGGGUGAGUAAUAUAUCGGAACGUGCCCAGUAAUGGGGGAUAGCCCGGCGAAAGCCGGAUUAAUACCGCAUACGACCUACGGGUGAAAGCAGGGGAUCGCAAGACCUUGCGUUAUUGGAGCGGCCGAUAUCAGAUUAGCUAGUUGGUGGGGUAAAAGCCUACCAAGGCGACGAUCUGUAGCUGGUCUGAGAGGACGACCAGCCACACUGGGACUGAGACACGGCCCAGACUCCUACGGGAGGCAGCAGUGGGAAUUUUGGACAAUGGACGCAAGUCUGAUCCAGCCAUGCCGCGUGCGGGAAGAAGGCCUUCGGGUUGUAAACCGCUUUUGUCAGGGAAGAAACGAGUUUCUCUAAUACAGAGACUUAAUGACGGUACCUGAAGAAUAAGCACCGGCUAACUACGUGACAGCCGCCGCAGUAACAC